AACGGCUAUACCAUGCUGAAUAUACCGGUUCUCGUUAGAUCACCGAAGUCAAGCAUCAUUGGGCGCGGUCAGUACUUGAGUGGAUGACCACCUGGGAACACCGCGUGC
rnacentral:rRNA from 1 species